rnacentral:snRNA from 1 species
GUGCUCGCUUUGGCAGCUCAUCAACUAAAAUUGGAAAGAUCCAGAGAAGGUUAGCACGGUCCCUGCGCAAGGAUGCCGUGCAAAUUUGGGAAGUGUUCCAUACUUCU